UGGAUGAAAUAUAAACUGUCUCUUAAUUAAAAAUAAAAUUUAAUUUUUUAAUUAAAAAGUUAAAAUAUUUUAAAAAGACGAGAAGACCCUAUAGAGUUUUAUAAAUAAAUUAAUUGAGAUUAUUAAAUAAAAUUAAAACUAAUUUAUUUAUUAUAUUGGGGUGAUAGAAAAAUAUAUUUAACUUUUUUUAAAAAAAAACAUUUAUAAGUGAUUAAAUGAUCCAAUAUUAUUGAUUAUAAGAAAAAAUUACCUUAGGGAUAACAGCGUAAUUUUUUUUUUUAGUUCGUAUAA
rnacentral:rRNA from 1 species